rnacentral:rRNA from 1 species
AUUGAACGCUGGCGGCAGGCCUAACACAUGCAAGUCGAGCGGAUGAAGGGAGCUUGCUCCUGGAUUCAGCGGCGGACGGGUGAGUAAUUCCUAGGAAUCUGCCUGGUAGUGGGGGAUAACGUCCGGAAACGGGCGCUAAUACCGCAUACGUCCUGAUGGAGAAAGUGGGGGAUCUUCGGACCUCACGCUAUCAGAUGAGCCUAGGUCGGAUUAGCUAGUUGGUGGGGUAAAGGCCUACCAAGGCGACGAUCCGUAACUGGUCUGAGAGGAUGAUCAGUCACACUGGAAGUGAGACACGGACCAGACUCCUACGGGAGGCAGCAGUGGGGAAUAUUGGACAAUGGGCGAAAGCAUGAUACAGCCAUGCCGCGUGUGUGAAGAAGGUCUUCGGAUUGUAAAGCACUUUAAGUUGGGAGGAAGGGCAGUAAGUUAAGACCUUGCUGUAUUGACGUUACCAACAGAAGAAGCACCGGCUAACUACGUG